rnacentral:rRNA from 1 species
GUGCCAGCAGCCGCGGUAAUACGUAGGGGGCGAGCGUUGUCCGGAAUUACUGGGCGUAAAGGGCGAGUAGGCGGUUAUGUAAGUCAGAUGUGAAAUACCGGGGCUUAACCCCGGGGCUGCAUUUGAAACUGCAUAGCUUGAGUGCAGGAGAGGAAAGUGGAAUUCCCAGUGUAGCGGUGAUAUGCGUAGAUAUUGGGAGGAACACCAGUGGCGAAGGCGACUUUCUGGACUGUAACUGACGCUGAGGCGCGAAAGCGUGGGGAGCAAACAGGAUUAGAUACCCUGGUAGUCCACGCCGUAAACGAUGAGUGCGGUGUAGGGGGUAUCGACCCCUCCUGUGCCGCAGUUAACACAAUAAGCACUCCGCCUGGGGAGUACGGUCGCAAGACUGAAACUCAAAGGAAUUGACGGGGGCCCGCACAAGCAGCGGAGCAUGUGGUUUAAUUCGACGCAACGCGAAGAACCUUACCAGGGCUUGACAUCCCUCGCUACCGGCGGAAACGUCGGGUUCCCUUUUGGGACGAGGAGACAGGUGGUGCACGGUUGUCGUCAGCUCGUGUCGUGAGAUGUUGGGUUAAGUCCCGCAACGAGCGCAACCCUUGUCCUUAGUUGCCAACGUAAAGUCGUGCACUCUAGGGAGACUGCCGGAGACAAUUCGGAGGAAGGUGGGGAUGACGUCAAAUCAUCAUGCCCCUUAUGUCCUGGGCUACACACGUGCUACAAUGGGCUGUACAAAGGGUAGCGAAGCCGCGAGGUGGAGCCAAUCCCAUAAAACAGCUCUCAGUUCAGAUCGCAGGCUGCAACUCGCCUGCGUGAAGAUGGAGUUGCUAGUAAUCGCGGAUCAGCAUGCCGCGGUGAAUGCGUUCCCGGGCCUUGUACACACCGCCCGUCACACCACGAGAGUUGACAACACCCGACGUCGGUGAGCCAACCCGGCACUCAGCUGGGGGCAUUAGACCAGGUUGUUCAGGUAAUGUAACUUAUCUGGCCAAUCAAACCUCUAGUGUUCUGAGCUGAGUGCCGGGAGGCAUCCGCCUAAGGUGGGGUUGAUGAUUGGGGUGAAGUCGUAACAAGGUAACC